rnacentral:lncRNA from 1 species
GGUUAUAUCUAGAUUUUUUAAAAUGAAACCAAAGAGGCCGAAGAUAUAUUAGUGGUGAAGAUGAUCGAUGGAACAAAAUUCAGCAUAUGUUAGAACUCAUAGAUGUUAGGAAAAGUUCUAUCAAGACUAAGUCUAUCGGUACACCUGACAAAGCACUUCGAACUCCUUCCAAUAGUGGAUGCACGAAAAGAACGUGCAUCAUUCUUUCACGCAAAACCUACAACCCCUCUCCAAAAAUGCCAAACCUAACUCAUUGCCUCACUGUUGGUUGUGGACGAAUCAAGAUAAGGACA